rnacentral:rRNA from 1 species
GUGCCAGCAGCCGCGGUAAUACAGAGGUCCCAAGCGUUGUUCGGAUUCAUUGGGCGUAAAGGGUGCGUAGGCGGUGGGGUAAGUUGGAUGUGAAAUCUUGGGGCUUAACCUCAAAAUUGCAUUCAAUACUGCUCCGCUUGAGCGCUGUAGAGGAGAUUGGAAUUUACGGUGUAGCAGUGAAAUGCGUAGAUAUCGUAAGGAACGCCAGUGGCGAAAGCGAAUCUCUGGGCAGCAGCUGACGCUGAGGCACGAAGGCCAGGGGAGCAAACGGGAUUAGAUACCCUAGUAGUCC